AAAAAAAAAAUACACAACCCCAUCAGGCACAAAUGAAAAAUUAUGACUUUUCUCCUUUUAUCUUUUUCUAAGGGUUUUUUGUUGCUUUGUUUUAACUUAGCAGAUGUAAUCCAGUCAAGUUUCUUCCUCAGCCUCUAAAAGAAAAAAAGAUAAAUUUAGUAUUUAGGAAGGUUUUCUAUUUUAUAUAGUAUGAAUAUUUUGUUAUCUUUUUUGCUGCUAUUUUUUAAUUAAUCUACAAGAGCUUGUAUUCCUGAAGGGUAUUCAGAUUUCCACAGUGAUAUUCUUCAGAGGACACCUAUAUUUCUGCUUUAGAACAUGCUAAAUAGGUGCCUAAAUUGUGGUAGCACCAAGUAGCACAGUACAAUACACAAAGCAGCCACUCCACAACUGGCCAGGCAGGACACCUGAGCCCAGGACUAUUCCUUGAAAAUGCCACAAAACACAGCCAUAAAAACAGGACAUGCUGGCAGCCCAGUUUUGUCCAGUAGUCCAGCAACACCUCAGGUUUACUUAACUAAAUUGGUCAGAAAACAGACUUGAAUAUUUGUUGUAACUACUGGAGACCAACAGGAGUGAGACAAAAGGGCUGUUCCCUUUCAUAUCAUGGGGAAUGAGAGGAAAAUGGGAUUUCAGCUGAUAUAAAAGUGCUGACACAAGUGACAGGGACUAAAUCAGUUAUGAACGCACUGUUGUUGGGAGGGACAGGUGGAAGGUUUUGUCAGAAAAGCAAGAACACUUCUCAAACAUAUCUUUUACCAUAUUUUUUACUUUUUACAGACAGAACAGUUUUAGAAGGGAACGUGAAAACUUCAAGGAACCUUUAUGACUUGGCUGCUCCAUGAUAGUAGGGGACUGACACUUGAUAAAUGUGUAUCUCCAGUUUAUCCCUUAGGUUGGAUGAAAUGAACUCAUGAGAAUGCUGUUUGGAAGAGAGAAGUAUUUUCAGUGAAGCUACAAACAGGAAACCACCAGUGGCCAGAUAAGAUAUUGAAAAUUUAAAACUGCUAAAGUGCCUCAUCCCCAGAAGGACGAGGAUCAUUUUCAGGUGCAGUUUUUUACUUCCAUACUCGCUGUUUCCCUGUGAGUUGUCAGUCCUGUCCAAACAUUUCUUCUCAGUUUGGGGCUGGGAAUUCCCACUGUCAGGCCCAGAUGAGAGGCUGGGACUGAGCCUUAAGUUGCUUUUCCCAUUAAAGAUCUGAGGACUGCAGUCCCAGAAGGAGGUUUUGUGUUCUCAGUUGCUGAGACUGGAUCCCCCCCUGCAAAGCAGUAACAAAUACAACCCCAGAAUUAAGGACAACAGGAAUAAUUAAAUCCAGGAUCCACCUGUUCUCUGGCCCACAAAACUUAGAAGAAAAAUUAUUUAAUGGUUUGCCUUCAGCAGGGCUGUGUGGUCAGCCUCAGGCACAUGACAGCCUUCGUGCUUCAAGGCUGUCUGGUUUAUAACUGAGCUGAUCAUUGUCUUGGUGACAGUUGGGAUGUCAGCACUGAUGACUAAGUGGCCACUUCCAUGCCAUACUUUGGAUAUGACAAAGUGACAACUUCUAUUUCCGGGUUGUAGUUUCUUUAAACCAUGUUCAAAGACAGCUGAUGGAGCACGAGAUUUCUGAAACUAAGAGUCUGAUAGAAAUUUUGGACAAGGAAGCAAGGUCUAAAGCCCAUGAUUUGGACAAGGGAGCAAGGUCUAAAGACCAUGAUUUAUGUCUGUGAUUUAAUACAUAGUUCUGACCUGUCAUCACUGGUCCUUCAGGCUUUGCACUGAAAGUUGCACCCAACAAAUGUUUGAGAGCACGGUGUUUUUAUAAGAACUGUUGUCAUCUUUUGAAUUACACAAGAAUCACUGAGGGAGUAACAUAAUUAUCUCCAAACAACACAAAAUCAUCAGCAUUUUCCAAGUACUUUAGAAUUUGUGGUUUUGUCUUUAAUUGUGCUGUUACUGUGCUUGCUCAUGAGUUGUGGGUGAUAACAUGUGAUUAUCAUCUGCCUACUUGAUCACAUGCACAUUUGUGAUGCUCGCAAGAGCAAACAUUACUGGCUGGGAUCUGUCACAUUCUCAGUUUCAGAGACUGUUUCCCAGACAACAGCACAGUCCCCUUGAUCCACCAGCAGUGCACCACCGUGGAUCUGUGCUCAGUCUAACACCUGGUGGCAGCUGCUGCUCCCACUCCUGACACAGACAAGAUCUUUGUCGAGCCAUCAUCUCUGCAAGUCAAGGAAACUGCACAACCUAAAUUAAAAAGUCAAAAUGAGUCAAACAGCACCUACCUUGUUACAAAUUCUGAGUCAGUUUUCAAAUUGAAACCAGAUCAUUCCUUGUCAAAAGCCAUUUAAGGGCUAUGUACUGCCUGUUUAAGUUCUCUGCUGCCAAACAUAAAGCCAAGCACAGCUGUGUAAGGUGGUAAAUCAUUUCUCUGUAGUAAUUGGAGUGUGUUAAAACAAAGGAGCCCAGAGGGCAGGUGGAAGAGUGAGUGUCAGAAGCAGCUCAGGCCAGCUGGGUGGGAUCCUGUGUGCAGGGCGUUUACAUUUCGGAUGUUGUCAGGUGGGGGAGGAAGCUGAUAAGAAAAAUAAUUAUUUGCAUUCAAAUUAUAUACACAGUGCCAGAGCCUGGUUAGUGUAGGCAGUGUUAGACAGUGUUUCCCAACUGCAGGAGAUGUAUGACAUGCUGGGUAAAGAAGGUAUAUGAAGCAACAGAACCCUGAAGGUGUGCAGCUCUAAGCUUCUUGGCACAUUUUAUGGCAAAAUAAUAAAAUAAAAAGGAUCUGAAAAUCAAGUGUUUGUCCCAGAACAUGUUAAAUGAAGGGAGAGCUAAAGCUGAGUGGCUGCACAGCAGUGUAGCAGUAUCACAAAUCAGCAGUUCUGAUCCCAAGCUGUCCUUCCACAUCAGGUGGCCACAGGUCUCUGUAGAUCUUAUCACUAAUUUUUGGUUUUUCACUUAUUUCACAUUUGCACUCUAAAUUGCUCUCAGGUUACCUAAGACUGGUUUUAUUGAAAUCACAUCCCAGAGAGCUGUGCAGUGUAAUUGUAGCUGUGGUGACCAAUAUCUGCAAAGGGGAGAAAAGCUGCUUCAUCACAGAUGAGGACUUGUGCAAACUGAAAUCUAAAAGUCUGUUCUCACAGGGACACACAGGGAGUGGAACAGACAGAUAACACAUGUGAUCCAGCCCCCUCUCGUGGUUUUUCCACACAGAAGGCAGGAAUCGACUCAAACUGAUUACCUGGUAAUUAUAUAAACACCUGCAUCUCUUCUCUGAAAGCUGAUAUGGUCACUGGAAUUUCACCUCUUCUUAGGGAGCGAUAGGUAUUAGUCUGAGGAUAGAAAAUUAUAAUCUGUAAAAAAUUUUAUUUGUAUUUCCUAGGUAACUUGAUGGCUAUUUCUGGUAGAAUAUGAAGGAGUAAAGGAAGGGAAUUUGUUGUCUAUUUCUAUGAACUGGUUUUUUUUUUUCAAACUGAGGGAGGAAGUAAAUACUACAGGACAGAAAACAAAACUCUCCUGGUCAACAGAUAAAGUGCAGAAACAAUCACAGGCAAUUGGUUGUCUUACACUGCUCUGUGUGGUAAUUGAGCUGAACAGAAUUGCAUGAUACAAACAAGUCAGUGUUUGUCAGCAGGUGAAGAAGAAAUGCACUGAACUGCGAGAACUGCUGCAGGUCUGGCUAAAGCCAAGCUGGUUCCAGUCGGUGUUUUGGGGGUGCACAGCUUUGGCCAAAUGAGCCCUGAUCAGUUUUCUUGCUCUGCAGCACUGCAUGGCCUUCCUGCCAUUUCUCCAUUUCAUUUAUGGCUCACUGUGCAAAAAGAAAUUUAAGUGCCUUGUUCCUCAGGGCUCAUCCUGGCCACGUGAAGAGCUGUCCCAGGGCAGCAGCCCAGGGACAGAAAUAACUGUCCUGAGGUGGCACCAGGGCCAGCUGCCCCAGCUCCCCCAGCCUGGGCAGAGCUGCAGAGCAGCUGCACUGGGGCACUUCAGCAGUGCAGCUCCCCUGCCUGAGGUGGGAGGUUUAUGGAGCCCGGAGCUCCCCAGUGCUGUUUGCUGCAUUCUGCUCCUUUCCCUCUGCCCUGGGUCAAAUGAGGGCUCCAGGCCACAGUGAUGGGGAAUUUGGGACAGCACCUGUUCUGAAGAAGGAAGGUGAAGGGCUUUGGGGUGGGAGGCUGCAGCACUGGGGAGCACUGUCAGGACUCAACAUCAGCACUGAAACUGUUAAUGCCUUGCAGAGGAGGUAAAACUGGUAAGGAAUACUGGUUACUUCAAUAAAAACACAUUUUCAGUACUGAAAGGGAAAUAUUUUUAUUCCAUUUAUGUUUCUCUGAAGAGAGAAAGAGAUGCAGCAAAGCAUGUUAAUGCCUGCUACAGUGUUCUGAGCUCUGUUCUGACCUAAUCAAUGUCUCAUCAUGGAAACUCAUUUGUGCCUAACACCACUUUUCCAGAAUGUUCUGUAGUGGUGGCAUUUCCCCAUUGGUGUCUUCUUUAGACAUUAAUCAGAAAUCUAGAAGGAUAAAAUUAUUUGAACAAAACUCCUGUUAAAGUAUAGGCAAAGAUAGAGGAGUUGGUACCACCCUGCACUGAGGUAUUGCUGUGCUUUCUUUCCAUCAAUAAAGGUAUUUGUUUAUUAAAAGCAUCAUUUGAUGUGACCUUGUCAUGCAGGGAUGCGUUAUGACUUGCCAGGAAUUAAUGAGCCAAUUUUGGGAUCACUGAAAAAGAGCUUUGCUAGCCAACAAAGUUUUCUCUAAGAAGUACAUUCAGGAAAAUACAGCCAAGCAUGAGGAGGCUGAUACCGAGCUGACAGCUGAUGAAAGAGUGUUUACAGCUGGGCAGCCAUGAGGAAUUGUAUAAUGGAAGUCACUGAAGAGGUAUGUCUGGAAAAGAAAACACUGACAAUUUUCUGUCAUUACAACUGCCAGAUUGACAGAGGGAGUGGGAACUUGUUUUUCCAGAUCAAGGAUAGAGCAGGACUUUUGAAUGGUUUUCAUUAGUAUUGCCUGUGAAUACCAAUAUUUCACAUCAAUAAAACUUGGAUUU